UACGUAGAGGGCAAGCGUUGUCCGGAUUUAUUGGGCGUAAAGGGUGCGUAGGCGGCGCGGUAAGUCGGGUGUGAAAUCUCGGAGCUUAACUCCGAAACUGCAUUCGAUACUGCCGUGCUUGAGGACUGGAGAGGAGACUGGAAUUUACGGUGUAGCGGUGAAAUGCGUAGAUAUCGUAAGGAAGACCAGUGGCGAAGGCGGGUCUCUGGACAGUUCCUGACGCUGAGGCACGAAGGUCAGGGGAGCAAACGGG
rnacentral:rRNA from 1 species